GGACCCGUGGCCUAAUGGAUAAGGCGAUAGACUUCUAAUCUAUAGAUUGCGGGUUCGAGUCCCGCCGGGUUCG